rnacentral:lncRNA from 1 species
UGGUACAUUUAUAAGCUUCCAAUCUCCAUAACUUACUCAACUUAUUAGACUGUGCAAUCAAGAUUUUGCUUCAGUUCAGAUAAUCAUCUCAAACAACAAUGUAGAUGUGUCGUGAUCUGAAUUUAUGAGAUUCGAUUUCAUUAGGAAGAGAUGCCACGAAGAUUUUGAAGAUGCCGGGCACAGCAAAACUGCGAGGGAGGAAAUGGAAGCCUUCUGCAUUGGAGAGCUUGACACCACCUCCUUGGAUAUUCCAGAGCUCGAGAUUUUCUCCAAGAAUCAGCCAACUGAUUAUCCAAAGAAGCUCGUGGACUUGACAAAGCGAUACUGGGCUGUUCCUGCGGCUGUUGUUGGCAUCUCCGUGGUUGUCGCGGUCUUGCACUUGCGCAAGAAGUAACCAUCGGAUACAAUUUGCCCUUGGUAUACGACUUAAAGGGAGAGUUCUUCACAAUUUUGAAUGAUUAGGAGAAAACAGCAACUGAGAGAACUGCCCCAUUUUUAUCUAGAUUUUCAUGAUUAUAUUAUUAUUACAAACUAUAUGGAGAUUGUAUGUCAUUGAAGUUAGGGGAAACCCAUGGCUUCUGUGUUUGUGAGUCUCCAUUGUUGAAAGAUGGAAAAUUACACUAAAAUGUGCUUUAUUGAAUGUUUAGUGUCCUUUUAGUGAUAAGAGCUUUUACUUUGAUUGAAGUUAAAACUUGGCGCUAUAUUUUUAGCAAAGUUGUCGAUAAUACAUGUACGUACUUGAUUGAAGUUGAAAACACUAAACCAUUUAGCAAAGUUGCCAACUAAAGUAUAUUGUAGAAUAAUACACGUACAUUUGAUCGAGGUUAUUUUUUUGGUUUUUUGAUACAAUUAUAUUUUUUACAACAAAGUGUGAGGAAUAAAUUAGUUUUGAACUUAUCACUCACGUCAUUUAAACUUAAAACCUUGUUUACAACUUAUAAGUAAAUAGGAAUAAUUUAGAUUGUACUAUACAAUAAGACGAUGACAAGACAAUAAUACUUAAGUGAUACAUAUUUUGCUUGAAGUUCAAAUACACUAAAAUGUGAAUCAACUAAAAAUUUAAACAGAAGCUUUAAGGGAAAAGAUCUUUGCUUUUAUAAAAAAAAAAAAAAAAAAAAAAAAGGAAAUUAAAUUGUAGAGCCUAAAUAACAUCGAACUUCAACGAUCUGAGUUCUACACGUCCUGAAGUUUAAAAAGCAAAACGAAGGUAUUAUAGAAUACCUUAUAUUCUCAAAGCACAGCAAUACACAAACAAACAAACAACAACAACUUCCGCCGGGUUCGAACCCAUGACCUAUUGGAUUCGUAAAUCGCUCAAACCCCACAACGUACAUGGGUACUGGGGAUAAAGCUCUCAAAUGUGAAUUUAUUUAUACAGACUUUUGAGAAUGUGGAUUGAAUUUCUGAGGGCUUGGGUGGGCAUUGUUAGCAAAGCCGAAUUCUCUUUGCUCGUCUGGUUCAGUUACAUGUACAACUAGCACACUAAACAUUUUCUUUUAAUAUAAUGAUAUAUUUACAUUAAAGAAUAAGUAAAUGAAUUGGUAUCUUUUUUUUUUUGUUAGACUAAGUGCUAGAUUAGGAAGCCGACAGGGUUCGAACCCACACCGUGAUGUAAGGGCAACACUCAUCUCCAUCACUGUGGUAGAGGGCCACUUGCAAAUGAACUAGAAUCAAACUCUUCAUCUGCGAGAUUUGGACAUGAGACAUCUCACUCUCAAGUGAAAAACUAAUACCAUUAAACCGUAAUACUAAAUAAUCAUUGACCUUGUUUUAAAUACAAUAAAAGCGAAGCCUAGAAUGUACACAUAAUGAAGUUUUGUAGUUGGAGAAAAUCCGUAACAACCUACUUGAAUUUUAAGAAGCUUAGGUUAUGUUCGUGAACGUUUUGCAAAAUUGUUUUUCGUUUUGCAUAUACAAUAACGAGUGAAAAAUGUGUUCGGCAAACUGUUUUCUAAAAAUAAAUUCAUAAAACAAUAUUUAACCUGAGUUUUGUUGAACAUCAAAUUGGCGUUUCCCUUAUUUUUCAAGAUCAAUUUUUGAAAUAAUGGAAAAUAAAGAUACAUUAUAAAACAAAAUUAGAGUUUAAUUAAAAAAUAAAAUCAUGUAUGUCGCCACUACUAUCACUAUUGCCACAAUGACCACCACAACACUCUCCACCAUCUCACCACCAUUGCCACCAUCUUUGACACUAUCACCUCCCACCACCAUCAUCUUCAUUGCCAUCUCACCAUGACCACCACCAUAUGCGCCUUCUUCUCCACCAUCGCUAUCCCACCACCACCGUCACUUUGCCACCAUCUAUAUAUAUAUAUAUAUUAGGCAUUUAGUGAUAUUGUUUAAAGAUUUGCAAAAAUUCUGUCUAUGUGUGCGUUUCCAACUUUCCAAAUAUAUAUAUAUAUAUAUAUAUAUAUAUAUAUAUAUAUAUAUAUAUAUAUAUAUAUAUAUAUAUAUAAUCUUAAAAGACAUGCUCCUUGAAAAUAGUAUCACGGGGUUUAACUAAACAAUAAAUAAAUAAAAAAUACACUAUCAUGUUUUGUCCCAUAACUAGAAUACAAAACCCUUCAAAACAUUGAUAGCCAUAGAAGCCCUCCAAAAAAUUGAUAGCAACACUCCCCAAGCAUUACCCAUUUGUUAAAUUGGGAAGGAGAGAGGGAAAGAGAGAGAACGGUAAGAAUUUAUUUAUUUAAUAUUAGAGAUAUACUAGAAUCACACGUGAAAAAAGUCAAAUUUAGUUUAUGUGAAAUUACAUUACUGUCCAUGAUUUUAUUUUGUGAUAAAAGAUUAAAUUGUCUUCUAACCACGCGGUUGAUAUGAUCACUCUCACAAAAGCAUGAGAUUAUUUAUGUUUUGGUCUCAACAACUAUACUGGUUUCACAAGGUGUUAGAGCUACUAUACUCAGAAAUCGGCACCAGAUAUUGAAAAAAGCAUGUAACUCAAGCGGUUUCACAUGCACUCGAAAUCUUGUACUCGAAUCACCUCCCAAUAGUACUUGUAUUAAAAGAAUACAAAGGCAUAUAACCCAAGUAGUAAUUAUACACAUCUUGUAUUUUAUUAACUAUGAAGAAAAAUUACUAAAAUGUGCUUUAUUGCAUGUUGAAUGUCCCUUGUUGAUGAGAGUUUUUAUUUUGAUUGAAGUUAAAUAUGAACGCAACUAAAAACUUAUAAAAAAGCAAAACAAAGGUAUUUUAGAAUACCUUAUACUUUCACACUGGUAAUUUCUCGCAGACAUCGUUAGCCUGAACCCUAAACUUUAAACUAGGGGUGGGUUCAAAAACCGAAAACCGAAAAAAACCGAAAACCAAACCGAACCGAAACCGAAAAAACCGAACCGAACAAAAAAACCGAACCGAAUUGAAAAAACCGAACCGAACCGAAUUCUUUUGGUUCGGUUCGGUUUUAGUGAUCUAGAAACCGAACCAAACCGAACCGAACCGAAUUAAUUAAAUUAAUUUUUUUAUUUAAUUAUUUGUUUUGGAUAUUAUUUUCUAAACCCAAUUUGUAAGUUAAAAUAUGCUAAACCCAAUGUGUUGCCAAACUUUAAGCUCAAAAUAUUAAAAAAAAGUCCUAUAAAAACUUUAAACCCUAACCUAUUAUUUAUCCCCCAUAUAAGGUUCCGGAGCCAAACCUCAUCCUGAAGUACCUACAUCCAUCUCCAUAGCACUGUCUACUUUUGUCUCAGCUUUCUUUUCCAAAUCUACUCUCAUAUAACAUGUAACAGAAUCUAUAAACAUUUAUUUCGGGUAGAUUACUUAGGGAAUUUGUGAUGGAAAAGAAUCCAACACACACUAAAUAAAUCCACCCACGCAUUUCUUUUACUAAUCAAGUUGUCAACAUGCAGUUACAAGCAAACAACCCUGAUCUUUGAACAACAUCAUACAAUUUAAUUUUUCUAAGUCAUUUGUACGAUUUUUGUGUUGUGAUGUUGUUAGUUUGGACUUUGGAAGACUUGAUUGAUGAUUUUAGUUCAACUUUAAAUGUUUAUUUUCAUUGUCUUUGAUUAUAGUUAGAAUGCUUGUGUUAUGAUUGUGUUGGAUACGUUAAAAUUUAAAAUUUCAAUGUUUUUCAUUUUUUGAAAGAAAAAAAAAAAAAAAAACCAAAACCGAACCGAAAAAAACCGAACCGAAAAAAAACCGAACCGAAAAAAACCGAAAAAAAAAUGAACCGAACCGAACCGAACCGAAAUUUCGGUUUGGUUUCGGUUUUGGCAAAAAACCGAACCGAAUUAAACCGAACCCACCCCUACUUUAAACCCUACGAUCGAUCUUUAGUCUAUCUGCCAGUUUCGAUCCCAAGACCUAUUGGAUUCAAACAUCACUCACAUCCAACAGCGUACAAGGGAACCAGCCAGGUUAGCUCAAAAAUUAUAUAUUUAAAGGGGAACCACAUUUCUAAGGGCGAACUCCUUUUUAUUCUGAAACUCCAUUCACUUUUGUCUGAGUUGAUCCUAGCAAAUGGAUGUUUUUUUGUCACACUCAUUAUUUUAACAGAUCGUGUCGUGUCAAACUCAUUAUCUUAACGGGUUCUUAAUAGUUGACCCAAGAACGAUCAAACUCGAUAGUAGAUCGACUCAGAACUUGUUACUUUUGUGUCGUUUCGUGUUGGCUUAAAUACUCAUGUAAGAAAUUGUCAUGCCUUAUGUCUAGACUUGGCAAAUGGGUUGUGUUAGUGUCAUUUAUGUUGACAGGUGAUCUAAUAAUAACUCGAAACUUGUAAGAAAUUGUCAUGCUUUAUCUUGACAGGUGAUCUAAUAAUAACUCGAAACUUGUUAUAUUCCACCACCAUUAACACCUCUAUUCUCACCACCACUACUACUCCAACCACCAUUGCUAUUCACACCAUUCUUGUCUCAACCACCAUCGUCACCAUUAUUACCAAACAGAAAUAAGCUUCCAAUCUCCAUAACUCACUCAACUUAUUAGACUGUGCAAUCAAGAUUUUGUUUCAGUUCAGAUAAUCAUCUCAAACAACCACGUAGAUGUGUCGUGAUCUGAAUUUUUGAGAUUCAAUUUCAUUAGGAAGAGAUGCCACCGAAGAUUUUGAAGAUGCCGAGCACAGCAAAACUGCGAGGGAGGAAAUGAAAGCCUUCUGCAUUGGAGAGCUUGACACCACUUCCUUAGAUAUUCCAGAGCUUGAGAUUUUCUCCAAGAAUCAGCCAACCGAUUAUCCAAAGAAGCUCGUGGACUUGACAAAGCGAUACUGGGCUAUUCCUACGGCCGUUGUUGGCAUCUUCGUGGUUGUCGCCGUCUUGCCCUUGCACAAGAAGUAACCAUCGGAUAAAAUUUGCCCUUGUUAUACAACUCAAAGGGAGAGUUCUUCACAAUUUUGAAUAAUUAGGAGAAAACAACAACCGAGAGAACUGCCCCAUUUUUAUCUAGAUUUUCAUGAUUAUAUUAUUAUUACAAAUUAUAUGGAGAUUGUAUGUCAUUGAAAUUAGGGGAAAUCCAUGGCUUCUGUGUUAGUGAGUCCCCAUU